CGGGACACGUGGUAUCCUGUCUGAAUAUGGGGGGACCAUCCUCCAAGGCUAAAUACUCCUGACUGACCGAUAGUGAACCAGUACCGUGAGGGAAAGGCGAAAAGAACCCCGGCGAGGGGAGUGAAAAAGAACCUGAAACCGUGUACGUACAAGCAGUGGGAGCACGCUUCGGCGUGUGACUGCGUACCUUUUGUAUAAUGGGUCAGCGACUUAUAUUCUGUAGCAAGGUUAACCGAAUAGGGGAGCCGAAGGGAAACCGAGUCUUAACUGGGCGUUAAGUUGCAGGGUAUAGACCCGAAACCCGGUGAUCUAGCCAUGGGCAGGUUGAAGGUUGGGUAACACUAACUGGAGGACCGAACCGACUAAUGUUGAAAAAUUAGCGGAUGACUUGUGGCUGGGGGUGAAAGGCCAAUCAAACCGGGAGAUAGCUGGUUCUCCCCGAAAGCUAUUUAGGUAGCGCCUCGUGAAUUCAUCUCCGGGGGUAGAGCACUGUUUCGGCAAGGGGGUCAUCCCGACUUACCAACCCGAUGCAAACUGCGAAUACCGGAGAAUGUUAUCACGGGAGACACACGGCGGGUGCUAACGUCCGUCGUGAAGAGGGAAACAACCCAGACCGCCAGCUAAGGUCCCAAAGUCAUGGUUAAGUGGGAAACGAUGUGGGAAGGCCCAGACAGCCAGGAUGUUGGCUUAGAAGCAGCCAUCAUUUAAAGAAAGCGUAAUAGCUCACUGGUCGAGUCGGCCUGCGCGGAAGAUGUAACGGGGCUAAACCAUGCACCGAAGCUGCGGCAGCGACACUAUGUGUUGUUGGGUAGGGGAGCGUUCUGUAAGCCUGUGAAGGUGUACUGUGAGGUAUGCUGGAGGUAUCAGAAGUGCGAAUGCUGACAUAAGUAACGAUAAAGCGGGUGAAAAGCCCGCUCGCCGGAAGACCAAGGGUUCCUGUCCAACGUUAAUCGGGGCAGGGUGAGUCGACCCCUAAGGCGAGGCCGAAAGGCGUAGUCGAUGGGAAACAGGUUAAUAUUCCUGUACUUGGUGUUACUGCGAAGGGGGGACGGAGAAGGCUAUGUUGGCCGGGCGACGGUUGUCCCGGUUUAAGCGUGUAGGCUGGUUUUCCAGGCAAAUCCGGAAAAUCAAGGCUGAGGCGUGAUGACGAGGCACUACGGUGCUGAAGCAACAAAUGCCCUGCUUCCAGGAAAAGCCUCUAAGCAUCAGGUAACAUCAAAUCGUACCCCAAACCGACACAGGUGGUCAGGUAGAGAAUACCAAGGCGCUUGAGAGAACUCGGGUGAAGGAACUAGGCAAAAUGGUGCCGUAACUUCGGGAGAAGGCACGCUGAUAUGUAGGUGAAGCGACUUGCUCGUGGAGCUGAAAUCAGUCGAAGAUACCAGCUGGCUGCAACUGUUUAUUAAAAACACAGCACUGUGCAAACACGAAAGUGGACGUAUACGGUGUGACGCCUGCCCGGUGCCGGAA
rnacentral:rRNA from 1 species